rnacentral:rRNA from 1 species
UACGUAGGGCGCAAGCGUUAUCCGGAAUUAUUGGCGUAAAGAGCUCGUAGGCGGUUUGUCGCGUCUGCCGUGAAAGUCCGGGGCUCAACUCCGGAUCUGCGGUGGGUACGGGCAGACUAGAGUGAUGUAGGGGAGACUGGAAUUCCUGGUGUAGCGGUGAAAUGCGCAGGAUAUCAGGAGGAACACCGAUGGCGAAGGCAGGUCUCUGGGCAUUAACUGACGCUGAGGAGCGAAAGCAUGGGGAGCGAACAGG